rnacentral:rRNA from 1 species
UACGUAGGGGGCAAGCGUUGUCCGGAUUUAUUGGGCGUAAAGAGCGUGUAGGCGGCUUGGUAGGUCCGCUGUGAAAACUCGAGGCUCAACCUCGAGAUGUCGGCGGAAACCACUUGGCUAGAGUCCGGAAGAGGAGAGUGGAAUUCCUGGUGUAGCGGUGAAAUGCGCAGAUAUCAGGAAGAACACCUAUGGCAAAGGCAGCUCUCUGGGACGGUACUGACGCUGAGACGCGAAAGCGUGGGGAGCGAACAGG